CAGCUGUGGAGAAGAGCUGCUGCUGUCAGUUAAGGAGUAGGAAGCCUGGGGCCCCCACUGGGUCUCCAUCAGACCUGGGCCCAGUGAUCGACCCGAUCCUUCUCCAUUAACCGCCGAUCAUCACCAUCCAUCACAAUCCCUUAAAAGUGAUCGACCCGAUCCUUCUCCAUUAACUGCCGAUCAUCACCAUCCAUCACAAUCCAUUAAAAGGUA